rnacentral:rRNA from 1 species
UGGGGAAUAUUGGGGCAAAUGGGGCGAAAGCCUGACCCAGCAACGCCGCGUGAAGGAAGAAGGCCUUCGGGUUGUAAACUUCUUUUAUCAGGGACGAAGGAAGUGACGGUACCUGAUGAAUAAGCCACGGCUAACUACGUGCCAGCAGCCGCGGUAAUACGUGGGGGGCAAGCGUUAUCCGGAUUUACUGGGGUGUAAAGGGAGCGUAGACGGCAAUGCAAGUCUGAAGUGAAAGGACGGGGCUUAACCCUGUGACUGCUUUGGAAACUGUGUAGCUUGAGUGCCGGAGGGGUAAGCGGAAUUCCUAGUGUAGCGGUGAAAUGCGUAGAUAUUAGGAGGAACACCAGUGGCGAAGGCGGCUUACUGGACGGUAACUGACGUUGAGGCUCGAAAGCGU